GACGAACGCUGGCGGCGUGCCUAACACAUGCAAGUCGAGCGGGAACCUCAGGAGGGGUAACCCUUCUGAGGGGAGAGCGGCGAACGGGUGAGUAACACGUGGGCAACCUGCCCCCGGACACCGGGACGUAACCCACGGGAAACCGUAGAGCUAAUACCGGAUACUCCGGCGCGAUCGCACGGUCGUGCCGGGAAAGCUCCGACGGUCCGGGA
rnacentral:rRNA from 1 species